GGGCAAGAUGGGCGAAGUAGGCCCACCACGUAGAACGUGGUUGGCCUCUUCGCACUCCCUUAUUCGCACCUGCGGCGCUCAACGGGCCAUCUUGCUCUGCGAGGC
rnacentral:ncRNA from 1 species